ACUAUCACUUUGGACAUUUAAAUGUUAAUUAUCUUGGUUUUCUAAAUUAUUGUAUCUGACUUUUCCAUGCCCAGUGCCCUGGAUAUUACAAGCCAUCACUAAGCUGGUGUUUGUGAAGAUAUCACAGCUUCUAUCUCUUGCCUGAUGGUAGAAUGCAUACUUCAUGCUGAAUUAUGAAGACCCAAUUAAGAGUGUAUUUCAAUCUGCUGGCUUAUUAUAAAAAGAGGAUAUAGAACAAAGAGAUUGGGGGAUUUGGAGCCUUUAUGUGACCAGGCAGGGGAAUUGUGGUCAGAAAUGGGCAUGGAGAGGCCGUAAUGGAGUCCAAUAAAGGUUGGCAUGUUAGAUUCCAUCUAAGAUGGCUGGGCACACAAGGGCAAGAAAUUAGCUGGAAAGCUAGCUGGCAAAGCAAAUUGUUCACACAAAAUUACCUUCUUAAUAAUGAAUCUUAGCAGACUUUCCCUGUGUGGGGGUAUGUGUGUGUCUGCACGUGCGCAUGUGCGUAUGUGUUUCAUGAUUUAUUAAAUAGAUUAACUACAUUGAUUUUUACUUUGAGAUUUCCAGGCAAUCACACAAUACUUGAAUUUUUCAAUCUUGUUGCUACAUUAUAUGUUAAUAAAAGCCAAUAGCAAACAUUUAAAAAGUUUUCCUAGAUUAGGGCCCUUUCAGGAAUCGAUAAUCUCAUUGUCACGGUUCAAAAAGCUAUCAAUUCUAUGAGGACCACUAAUGGCUGCAGAAAGAAUGCAUGUAAACACCACCAGAAAAAAAUCAAUGUUCUCUCUAAGUCAUCGAUAAUUCUUGAUGGCAAUUGGAAUUAUGAAAAACAUUACAUGUACCUCGUGUCUUAAGCAUUUGGAAGGGAUCCACAUCAGGUAGCUGGAAUCCUGGUGUCCAGGACAACGCAGCUAUCAUUUAGGCUUUGUUGAUCUGUUAACUGGUGCUUGGAUAAUACCUUAUGGUUCCUAAGAUAGAGUGUCAUACACGUGACUCAUUUGGCAGCCACAGCAACCCUGUGAAAUGAACACUGAAGUAAAACUAGCCUCCUUGUUGUAGACGAAGUGCCAGUGAAGAGGUGGCACAUUGGCCAAGCCAAUCACAGGAGAGUUGGGAAUGACGUGUAGCUCUUUUGACUCCUGUUCUUCCCCCUUGGUGGUGAUGGGUGCCUCCACCAAUAUAACUGUGGAUGCAAUGUUUACUUAUUCACCAAUUCUCAAUAGGCUAUAAUGAAGCAGUUUAGUGAGAAAUCUGGAUAUUAGUAAAUAAUCCAGAGGUUCAACUGCAUAGUACAUCUCAUCUAGGUUUACAGAGUUACUACAAAUGAGUAUUCACUCAAGGAUAAGGGCUAUCCUUUUUUCAUGCUCUUCAAUUUUCUCAGGGGUUGCUGGAGUAUCUCUACUCUCUCAAGUAUGGUAUUUGGCAUUUAUUCCCAUACUUCCCCAUUUUAAAGGGAGAUGAUAACAAAUAGAGCUGUGCCUACUGAGGUCACUCAGCUCUUAGCCUUAGCACUGCAUAGCAAUGAACACAUUUUUUAUCCUCUAACAUCGUAAUUUUUUUAGGUAGCUGUCUCUGCCUUUGGUUAAGGCUUAUUUUAAAAUACAAAUUUAUGUUAAAAUUUAAAAAAUGUUUACAGAUUUUGUUUUUAGUUUGAGGCUUAACCUCAAAGAAACAGAAUUAAUAGAAGAAGGAAAUGAUCCUGGGAGAUCCUCAAUGCAGUAAUGAAUUCAACAUUCUUCAAUCAAAUUUAAAAUUUAAUUAUAGCCUACUUACCUGUGGUGACCCUGGAUUCUGUACAACUGAUUUGUUGAUACAGAAGAGAGUCAUGCAAACUACAGAAAUCCACCCAAAACCGAGAGAAGGAGAGUAUCUGUUUUCAGAGGAGCUGUCUGCUUUGGGAGGAAGUUCCAGAAGUGAGCCUCAGGAAUUACAACAUUAAUUGAGAAACUGAAUGAUUAAAAUUGUAGUAACAAAUAGCUUUCCUUGGAACUGUCCCAGAAUCUAUUAUUUUUUUUUCCUUUUCUGUCAUUAACAAAAACACCAACAAAAAUCAUCAUGUGUGAAAGAGGUACUAUA
ensembl:lncRNA LINC01830 long intergenic non-protein coding RNA 1830